AUGAUGAUGUCACAGAUUCUCCUGCUGGGCACCCUGGGGCUCCUUGUUCAGGGUUCAUCAGGAGAAAUCACUCUGACUCAGUCUCCUGGAUCUCAGUCUGUUAGUUCAGGACAGACUGUCUCUAUCAGAUGUAAAGCCAGUUCAAAUGUUAAUAGCAACCUCCACUGGUACCUUCAGAAACCUGGACAAGCUCCUAAACUCUUGAUAUAUUCUGCCACAACCCUUCAGUCUGGAGUUUCAAGUCGUUUUAGUGGAAGUGGAUCUGAGACUGACUUCACUCUGACCAUCAGUGGAGUCCAGGCUGAAGAUUCAGGAGUUUACUAUUGUCAGCAGCACCAAAGCUAUCCGUUCACACAGUGA